GCCAGCUGCCGCAAAAACCAGGGCUGUACAUCAGUUGGAGGGAGAGAUGGAGAGCCUGGUGACAGGUGGCAAUCACUGCUGUGCUAGGACACGCCCUUUGCAUCUGGCUACGUUCCAGAAAAUGAAUUCAGUGCUUCAGAAUUCUUCCUGGGUCAGGACAGCUGCUAGCGUGGAUGGGAAAAGGCCACGAUGGAUCGACUGAGUGCUGCUGGUCAGGUGUAACAAGUACUCAGGCAUGGCCUCUAGUGAUGACUGCAUGGGUAAGAGACCGUGUUGGGAAGCCAAAAGGAGAACCGCUUCCAUUUAGAGAGGUCUUGACCGGGAUGAUGGGGCCCUGGCAUCAGGGGGAACCCCCAGAGGUUCCAAAAGGGCCACCGUAUAGGCCUUUGACUGGUAGGCCAAGCGCUCCAUGGCACUCCUGUCCAGGAUCCACAGCGGGGUAGGGAUGGCAGGAGGGAUAAUGAGGGCUCCUCAGACGAGAAGGGUACCAGCCAACCACUGACUCCGACAAGCCUUCCUCCGGGAUCCAUGGAGGUGCACUUCCCACCAGUGCUGGAGAUGCUGGGGCGGGGAAGCUUGUGCCGAGACCAGCAAGGACGGUUUCCUUCUAGGUGGUAUCGUGGAGCCUCGAACUGGAUAGCAGCUGGAGGUUACCCGUUCCCUCCUGCCUGCCGGCACCAAUGCCGCCAAUCUUGUACAGCAGGCAACGGUGGUACUGAGAGCACCAGCAGAGCUCUGGCCGCAGCAAAUGCCUCCAGAGUGGAUGGCACCACAGUGGCGCCGGUGCUGCACUUUCCCGCCGGUGCAGAGGGCUCAUCUGGAACUAGACUUAACAGUUCCUGUGUACGGGUCAGAGUUAACAGUGCUGCCUGCCAUGCCGAGGCAGAGGAGUGUCCUGACUUUAGUUGCCCUCUGCUCUGUUCCCCAUGCCUGGUCUUGUUUGGAGUUGGGGAACAUCCUCUCUCAGCCAUCUGCUUUCUAUGCUGCUUUCUCUGCUCCAGGGAUGGUGAAUGGUGCCAAGACUCCUGUAGACUGGGAGGAGUGCUCUGCACCAACGCUGAGGUACUCAGUGGCGAGUCUGAGCGGCUUGGUCAGAGGAAGGUCUGAGCACUCCUUCCAUCAAUAGGAAGUUUAGCCUGGCCUCUCGGUCCUUCUUCGUACGAGGUUUAAACUCAUGGCAGAUCUGACAGCGAUCCCCGAUGUGAGCUUCCCCCCCCGAGCACUUUAGACCACUAGAGUGCGGGUCGCGCAAAGGCAUAGCCUUGUUGCAGGAGGCACAGGGCUUGAAGCCUGGUGACAAAGGUAUGCCUCAGCACUGGGGACAGGCCAAAACUCCGCUAAGUUACAGAGAAGUGCCAGCAAAACU